rnacentral:rRNA from 1 species
GACGAACCGUGCGAACGUUGUUCGGAAUCACUGGGCUUAAAAGGGCGCGUAGGCGGGCUGCCAAGUCUGGGGUGAAAUCCCACGGCUCAACCGUGGAACUGCCUCGGAUACUGGCGGCCUCGAGGGAGGUAGGGGCGUGCGGAACUGUGGGUGGAGCGGUGAAAUGCGUUGAUAUCCACAGGAACUCCGGUGGCGAAGGCGGAUCUCUGGGCCGUAACUGACGCUGAGGAGCGAAAGCAUGGGGAGCGAACAGG